rnacentral:rRNA from 1 species
CUCCUUGACGUUAGCGGCGGACGGGUGAGUAACACGUGGGUAACCUACCUAUAAGACUGGGAUAACUUCGGGAAACCGGAGCUAAUACCGGAUAAUAUUUCGAACCGCAUGGUUCGAUAGUGAAAGGUGGUUUUGCUAUCACUUAUAGAUGGACCCGCGCCGUAUUAGCUAGUUGGUAAGGUAACGGCUUACCAAGGCACGAUACGUAGCCGACCUGAGAGGGUGAUCGGCCACACUGGAACUGAGACACGGUCCAGACUCCUACGGGAGGCAGCAGCC